UACGAAGGGGGCGAGCGUUGUUCGGAUUUACUGGGCGUAAAGAGUGUGUAGGCGGUGCUCUAAGUUCGGUGUGAAAUCUCCUGGCUCAACUGGGAGGGUGCGCCGGAAACUGGAGUGCUUGAGCGUGGGAGAGGAAAGCGGAAUUCCUGGUGUAGCGGUGAAAUGCGUAGAUAUCAGGAGGAACACCUGUGGUGUAGACGGCUUUCUGGACCAUAGCUGACGCUGAGACACGAAAGCGUGGGUAGCAAACAGG
rnacentral:rRNA from 1 species